UCUCACCCCGUCUGGCACCCAGACACACUCGCGUUCUCACACACUUGUGUCUGCACUGCUCAAGGAGAAAGAUAGAGACUGCACAUGAAGGAGAGGGAGAGAGAGCGAGAGCGAGAGCAUGAGAGAGGGGCUGACAUCUAUGUAGUUGAGCCACACCACUGGAGAGCAUGGUGAGAGUCAACGGGAGACGGAAGAAAGGAGUAACAAUGCUCUUUCAGGAUGCACAACGUUGGCACGACGUCGAGCCGCAGCCGGCUCCGCAGAAGCUUAUGAUUACAUCUAACCAUAAUAAACAUCCCGGUAGAGAGGAGCGUUACAUGUCGCGUUGACUGGCUCCACACACAAAAUAAACAAGACGGGCCAAACGCAAAAGUGAGACAUCACACAGCCAGCGUUUGAGGUGAUGUGUUGGACAGUGUGCGUCAUCACAUGGGAAGGGAAGGGAAGGGAAGGGAAAGGGAAGGAAUGAGCCCAUAGGCAGGAACAGCUGCGGGUUCGAAGCUCGGAAAAGCGAUGGAAAAGAUGAAAAGGCAAAGAAAAUAGCACAGAAUGAGAGAGGAUGAGAGAUUUUUUUUAGCCACUGGCGGCAGUUAUUUCUACUCAGAGUUGCAUGACUUACAUUUUUUCUUAGCCGACACUAAUGCGACGAAGGUUCAGUGAUCGUCAACUAGUCGCUGAUGGAGUCAUUGAUAUUUUUUCAGGACAGUAUUAUAGUUUAAAAAAACUCACAGGAGGAGGGAUUGCUUUGCAAUAAUCUAUAUUCACCGACAAUGGAGAUCUUAUACACUUAAUUUACGCAGCACGUACAUGUUAGUACACGAGCAUUGACAUGGUCUGGGUGAAAGCCAGCCUGUUGCUGCUGGGACAGCAAGGUAACAUUUGCACAACUUGGCCAAAUGGGGGAAACCUGUCCUCGGUCUCGGCCCACUACAGGAGCCGGUUCUGCAUGGUGGGAAUUUGUGGUGAUUUUCCCGCUCUCAUUCCACUUUGAUAGCGUGGAGUGAAAAAUUGUGCAAAAUCCUGCUCAAGCCUUCCUUAUUUCCCCAAUUGCUGGUUCCCCCCACACUUGCCAAAGCUGCACAUUCAGAAAUCGAAAAUUUAAAUCAACUAAGGGGACUCUCUAAUUUCAUUUAGCGCAUUCCAAGUCACAAACGUGAUUAAUGACUAGUCGACGUCACACUUUAAACAUCAUUGUGGAGUACUGAAAUAGUCAACUAGUAGUCCCUAAUUGUUACCAGUGGGUUUCAAUUCAAAGAGCGUUACAUUUGUAUCAAAUGGUAUCUUCCAUCACAACUGAUCCUGAUCACAACUUGUCCUUUUUUUUUAACAUUUAGCGUUAUAAACGAAAAAGGAACAUACAGUAAGUAUUGGAGCAAAACAGACUUGCUUUGGGCUUUGCAUCAAAUAAAACAGUAGGUAGCUAUUAUACUAUUUUGGGACUGUGUUUCCAGACUGUUAUGCCUGCAGUUUCUGCAGGAGAUUGGUGAUAAGAGUGCCCACUGUGUCCCAAGUGCUGCCCUCCACAUCCCAGCAGACAGGCUUUAGCUUAUUUAGAGUCCGGAGUUUCCCCAAAAGUGUCCUGCUGACUCAUACGUUGUACAAGCACCUCUUAUUGAACGCGGAUCAUCAGAAUGUGGAUGUUAGAUGUUUAGAAUUACCUUGUCUUUUUGCUUACAGUAACAGAAAAUGAAUAGCAUGAAAUUACCACGUUGCUACGUACGUGAGGCAACGAUGAAAGAGCAAACCUGACUGGUGCGCACAUCUAUUAGAGGGAGUGCCACUUGACUGGCCAGUUCCUUCUAACCAAAUUCUCCAUUCUGUCAUUGAAAAGCUAUUUUUAUAAGAGGCCACGGGAAGUCUGGGAGUUGACAAGAAACACACACACACACAAGGACGCAGGGCCGAGGCAAGGGCAGUGGGCAAUGGGGACUAUUAUGGUGUGUUGUAGAUAUGGCGACGAUGCUUCCCGUCCCAACCCUUCUCUGUUGACCAGGGGAAUUCCUGGCAGAGUGAUUUUGGAGACUUAAGACUGAAUCACAUUGCCAGGGAUUUCCAAUGGCUGGCAUGAGGAACGCAACACACUCACACACACCUUUCGUUUUGCACACUCGCACACAAACACACCCACCGAUGACUGUACUGUACUUGGCUGUGCGGUGGCAGGACUUAGCACACAUGUGAACACUGAAAGUGUGCCAUGUUCACAGUGGUUAAGUUCUGUCACCACGGGGCUGCAAACUGCAGGGGAUCAAGGUCACAGAUUGCCAUCGCUUUUCAUCAGCAGAGACCCACGGAAGGACACCCAUUGAAAUGAAGGAUUUCAUAUUAUGAGCAAAUUGUCUUUUAAUAACAUGCAUUAUAUUGGUUAUUUGUAAUUAAUUUGUGCAGCAUGUCCCGCAUGUCAUGGAAGUGUCAUUCCAGGAUCUGCUCUGCAUGCACACCAAUAUUAUGCUGGUGGAAUAGUCUCAUUUCCAUUCCCAUAAACAUGUGUUGUGUGGUUUCCUACACAAUGAAAAGGGGGCAUGAAAGUAAUGCUUUGUAUUUACUGCCAAAAAUGACUCCACUGCUACGAUUUGUUUUUGUAUAAAGGCCUCCCCCAAUAUACCCCUGCUUCCAUCUGCAGUUGAAUAACUACCCCAUCACACGCCACACCACUAAGUCCCGCCUCUAUAUUAAUAUCUAACACACAGACACUCCAAUAUCUACAGUAUUUUCUAUAAAUUUUAUGCUUGCAAUUUUAACAUGUUCAAAUACAUUUACAAUCUGUUCUAAAUAAGUGCGUAUAAAUAUGGUUAAAUGUGUUCAACAAAUGUGGGAGGGUUAAAGCUAUUUUAAAAUGUUUUUAUAUGGCGUCUCCACUGGAUUUUCACCCAUUGCGAGUGAGUCUGGAACGUAUCCCACCCAAUGAACGGGGCUUCACUGUACAGGAAAAGUGGUGUGUUUCCAUGAUAAUAUGUAUUAACCUCUAAAUCACUUUAAACUAUAGCAAAAUAUAGCAUUGUUGUUGCAAAAUUAUCUCUUAAGUUUAUGAAAUGUGUUUACUGAAUGUUUUGAGUGUCUCACUACUGGCUGCAUGUUGCUGUAAAAUUGUACAGUUCUAGCAUAACUUUUUUUUAACAACUCCCUAUACUAAAUACUCAAAAGAAACAGAAAAGUAUUUUUCCUAUUCAUUGUACUUGUGCCAGUGUUGCGUGCAUGUGACGCAUGACUCACGAUUGUGUUAUGACAAUGUCAGGGUGAUGUGCUGCGCCCAGCUCAUGAGAGCAGGUAUAACGACGUCUGCUCAUAACUGCUAAUCUGUUGAAAACACGAAAUGUCAUCAGCUCCUUCUUCACUCUCAAAAGGACAUGUGUGAAACUUUGGGAUUACAUUUAUUUAUUCGUUCAUUCAUUUAUUUAGAUUUUGCUUUGGCAGUGGAUUUUUGCAUGACAAAAUUGGGCCAAAUAGUUUGACCUAAAAAUAUAUGUAUAUACUGUAUGUGUGUCAGUAUAGACAGUACACCCUACUGGGCCGGUCUCCUGUGCCUGCUGUGCUGAUAAUCAGUGUGUGACGUCGGCUGGCUCAGUUCAGCAGGAACAGGGGCCUGUGGUCUCAUUUACACUCAUUUCAUUAUACCUUUAUACCUAAAAUAUAUGCAUAUGUAUGAUAUAAAUGACUGACAUUUUGACAUAUUCAAGUUAUGCAUUAAUAUGGCAAAAUGAGGUGAGUUUUUUUCUGUACACACACAUCUAUAUAUAUAUUAAAUAUAUGCCUGAUUAAAUGUAUGUGAUUUGGAAUUUUAAAUAAAAAAAAUUGUAUUUUUUUUUUUUUUUA